GUGGUAGAGGAGCGUUCUGUAAACUGUUGAAGGUGAGGCGGGAGCCGAGCUGGAGGUAACAGAAGUGCGAAUGCUGACGUAAGUAACGAUAAAACGAGUGAAAAACUCGUUCGCCGAAAGACCAAGGGUUCCUGUCCAACGUUAAUCGGGGCAGGGUGAGUCGGUACCUAAGGCGAGGCUGAAAAGCGUAGUCGAUGGAAAACAGGUUAAUAUUCCUGUACCUUAUUAAGUGCGAUGAGAUGACGGAGAAGGGAAAGUCAGCCAGUUAUUGGAUUCUGGUGAAAGGUUGUAGGGAGUUACCUGGGUUAAAAGACAGGUAGCGUUGAACUGAGAACCGAUGCGAAGUGAACAAUCACGAAGUGGCUCGUGCCCAGGCUUCCAGGAAAAGUCUCUAAGCUUCAGCUUAAUUAAGGCCGUACCCCAAACCGACACAGGUGGUCGGGUUGAAGAUACCAAGGCGCUUGGGAGAACUCAGGUGAAGGAACUAGGCAAAAUUGUACCGUAACUUCGGGAUAAGGUACGCUGCUCCAGGUGAAAAGCCUGCGCUUAGAGCUAGGAGCAGCCGCAGUGAAAUGGUGGCUGGGACUGUUUAACAAAAACACAGCACUCUGCAAACCUGAAAGGGGAAGUAUAGGGUGUGACACCUGCCCGGUGCUGGAAGGUUAAAUGAUGGGGUUAGGCGCAAGCUGAAGCUCCUGAGUGAAGCCCCAGUAAACGGCGGCCGUAACUAUAACGGUCCUAAGGUAGCGAAAUUCCUUGUCAGGUAAGUUCUGACCUGCACGAAUGGUGUAACCAUGGCCACGCUGUCUCCACCUGAGACCCAGUGAAAUCGAAAUCGCUGUGAAGAUGCAGUGUACCCGCGGCUAGACGGAAAGACCCCGUGAACCUUUACUGCAGCUUGACACUGAACUUUGAACAUGUUUGUGCAGGAUAGGCGGGAGACAUCGAAGCAAGAGCGCCAGCUCAUGUGGAGUCGUCCUUGAAAUACCGCCCUGACCUGUUUGAAGUUCUAACUCGACAAAGACCUUGAAGAGGACAGUGUCUGGUGGGCAGUUUGACUGGGGCGGUCUCCUCCUAAAGGGUAACGGAGGAGCACGAAGGUCAGCUGAUUACGGUCGGACAUCGUAAGGUCAGUGCAAUGGCAUAAGCUGGCUUGACUGCGAGAGCAACAACUCGAGCAGGUGCGAAAGCAGGUCAUAGUGAUCCGGUGGUUCUGUAUGGAAAGGCCAUCGCUCAACGGAUAAAAGGUACUCUGGGGAUAACAGGCUGAUACCGCCCA
rnacentral:rRNA from 1 species